CCGAUACAGUGAUGACAACAUAGUUCAGCAGAAUGCACAGUGACGAAUACAAGCUUUGUCUUUCGCUCCUAUCUGAUGUAUCUG
ensembl:snoRNA